AGCAGAAUGGAGAAUGUCCUCAGCCAGAAACUGAAGCUCGCUUCAGAAACCUUGUCAGUAAUCCUCUACUGAUGGAGCACACAGAGAAAGAAAACACAGACCAACCUCAGCCCCGGAGUCAAGCUAGUGCCGGACCAGUGUCUUUACUGAAAGCAAGGAGAGAAAACUUAAAUCGGCCCUCUAUAAACCUCCUGGACUCCAGGAAGAUUGAACACAAGUCACGUCACCGUCUUGAGAGCCCAGAGGACUCUGAGGAGCAAGAGAAAGAGAGUAAGAGACCAGAGGAAGAAGAAAAGUAUGAAGACAGACCAAAAAAAGAUGAGGAAGAUGGAGCAUUACACAAUAUAGCAUUUGCCAAAGUGCCAGAGAUGGACAGUAGAGGAAAUGACCAAUCAUCAAUCAAAUCUGACCAAGCGGCUCAGAGGGAGCAUUGCAGGACAGCAGGACCGUGGGAGCUGAGGAAGGGCCGUGCAGAAGCUAUCAAAGCAGAGACGUAGUCUUUACUUCCUUGCAUCUUUUACCCAGGUUGGAGGGAGAGCAGUACCGGACCAAUACUGGCAUUUUGCCCCGACUUCUGACAGGACAUCAAGCUCAAAGCAGAGCUUUCUCUGAAGCUGGAAAAGGGAGAUCUGUACAUCUGACUGAAGUACUCCCAAAGUCUGGAAGUGAGAGCAGCAUUUUGCAGGGUCCCAGACUCAGACCCCAACCCGAACUCAGACUUCCUGGAAGAUGUCCAGCUCAUGCAGAACAGAGGGUAGUUUCCAUUCAACAUUCAAGAAAUGAAGUUCACACUGACAUGAACUCGCCAGUUUACAAUUCUUCUCCCUACCUGAGCGCUGGACAACCAGUUCAGAUGUCCUUUUCUUCCUUUCAACUGGGACCACAAGUCAAAACCUCUCUUUUUCCGACUCCUUCUUCUUCUGAACCUCUGAGGCACAGUCCCACACACAAAAGAGCUGUUUCCUCCUCGAGAACUUUUAGGAAGAAACAUUAAGAAUCCACCGAUUCAACUUGGACCAAGAAAAUCUGUCUGUUGUUUUAUUUUUUUUAUCUUAUACUUUUCUAAUGUCAGGUCAUCAACUAUUUGAAACGAAAAUAUUUUCUAAAUACAGAAAUCACAAUAUUACGCAGCACAUCCAUAAAGUGGUCAGCAUCUCACUUUUUCUUUUCCCACAAAAAGUCUCCUCAGGGGAAGAAGAACCUGCACUCUACUCAAUUCUACAUAUUCUUUUAUUGGUACACAUAAUUAUGAUUACAUUUAUAAUGUCUUUAUUUGUACAGCACUUUUCAAAAACAAAGCAACAAAGUGCAGUGAACGCAUAAAAGAACCAAAUAAUGGAAAACAUGCUUAAGUGAGAAAAUGUAACGGAGAAAUGCUCUUAUUGUCGGCACAAUUCCAACUUACUAAAGUAAAUUAAUAGAUACAAAAAUAAAGCAAAGAUAAAAGCUUUGAAUUUAAGAAAAGAAAGCUGCUAUAUAAAGUGUGUUCUGAGGACUGAUUUAUGGCUAAAUAGUUUUGGCUCCAAGGUGACUGACAAACAGCCGCUUUUACUCUCUAAGAGCUCUGCAAAACAGGCUCCAAAUCAGCAUUAAGGGACUCCACUUUACCCCACACUGUGAUUUGGCAAAUGUGUUCCUCUUACAAACUAGCUCAGUCAACGACACUCAUGAACCUUGGCCUGAUCUGAAAGCAUUAGAUUCAGUUUCUACGGCCAAAGCCGCCUGAAGAAACUGCUGUCAUUGAGUCACAGCAUUUCAACACAACUUGAGAGGGUUUAGUUUUUCACUGUAUAUUAUUACUGAGCUGUAUGCAUUUUAAAAAGGAUAGUAUGAUGCUUAUUAAAAACCCUCUCACAUCUCACAAGCCCUCUCACAUCUUGGCCUCUUGUAAGACAUUUCACGGUGCAUCGUUUUCACGGCAACCCAAUUGUGAGGUUCUCUAUCUGUCACUUUCUUCUGUUCUUUCUUGAUGUAUCAGCCUUGUACUCUGAUUGUUUGCCACAGUGCAACCAAUACCACAAUACCAUUCCUCUAAUAAGGAUUUCUUACAUUUAGAUAUAUAAGUUAAGAACUUCACACAUAAUCAUUUCACUUCAAUAAAACAUCCAAGCUAUUAUUUCCUUGAUCCCAUGUUUUACUAAAUUGUAAAUGUAGUUUUUUUUUUGUUUUUUAAGUAUGUUAAACUGUAUAAAUUAGCUGGUUCAGGAGAGGGAUAAGUAAAACAAUACAGGUGCUCUUCAUUAAAUCUUUUUACAUUUGCGGGUGUAAAACAUCAACACUGCCGAGAUAAAGCCAUGCAGCACUGAUGGCAUUGAGACAUUCUCCCUCAUCCCACCCCGCUGGCUCCCACACUCCCUAUGGUUUGUUUUGGUGUGUGUGAGUUAGUGUUGGUUGUGUGUAUCACGUCUUUGCCCUGCGAGACUCCUGCCAAUCGAUUCAAGGUGAGACCUGUCGAUUAAACACCCUGAGCCGUGCUCUCUACCGAACCCCAGGGUGAUUCAAUCCCACCCCUUACACACACAUACACACACCCAUACAUAAACACGCGCUCACACACACACACACCCUCUUCACCUGUCAUCCAUCAAUACCUCCAUCAGGGCCUAUAUUGAUCCCCUCCCUACAGCCUAUUCACCCCAUGCAGUACCACAUCAGGGCUGAGACGACGUCCGUGCAGGUUAAAUUUCUGACAGAUUUACAAUAAAGCUGAAGUUAUUAUUUAACUCUUCCGGCCGCAGUGGGCUCUUUGAUUUAGCACCUUGGGAGAGGGAUGAGUUACAGCUGACACGGAGAAUCUGCCGGGGCUGGAAUGGUAGGCACCCGGUUCAUAACUCAGACGCUGAAUGUGUAGUUAGUCAAUCACUUGAUCUGUAAUCACAAAUGCUGCCAGAAAUUACAUGAGUGAUGAGCUGUAAUAAAAGCACUUACUUUUCCUG